rnacentral:rRNA from 1 species
CACCGCGGUUAUACGAGAGACCCAAGUUGAUAGACACCGGCGUAAAGAGUGGUUAAGAUAGACUAGACACUAAAGCCGAACACCCUCAGAGCUGUUAUACGCAUCCGAAGGUAAGAAGCUCAACCACGAAAGUGGCUUUACACCAUCUGACCCCACGAAAGCUAAGGCA